rnacentral:rRNA from 2 species
UUUAUGGAGAGUUUGAUCCUGGCUCAGGAUGAACGCUGGCGGCGUGCCUAAUACAUGCAAGUCGAGCGAACGGACGAGAAGCUUGCUUCUCUGAUGUUAGCGGCGGACGGGUGAGUAACACGUGGAUAACCUACCUAUAAGACUGGGAUAACUUCGGGAAACCGGAGCUAAUACCGGAUAAUAUUUUGAACCGCAUGGUUCAAAAGUGAAAGACGGUCUUGCUGUCACUUAUAGAUGGAUCCGCGCUGCAUUAGCUAGUUGGUAAGGUAACGGCUUACCAAGGCAACGAUGCAUAGCCGACCUGAGAGGGUGAUCGGCCACACUGGAACUGAGACACGGUCCAGACUCCUACGGGAGGCAGCAGUAGGGAAUCUUCCGCAAUGGGCGAAAGCCUGACGGAGCAACGCCGCGUGAGUGAUGAAGGUCUUCGGAUCGUAAAACUCUGUUAUUAGGGAAGAACAUAUGUGUAAGUAACUGUGCACAUCUUGACGGUACCUAAUCAGAAAGCCACGGCUAACUACGUGCCAGCAGCCGCGGUAAUACGUAGGUGGCAAGCGUUAUCCGGAAUUAUUGGGCGUAAAGCGCGCGUAGGCGGUUUUUUAAGUCUGAUGUGAAAGCCCACGGCUCAACCGUGGAGGGUCAUUGGAAACUGGAAAACUUGAGUGCAGAAGAGGAAAGUGGAAUUCCAUGUGUAGCGGUGAAAUGCGCAGAGAUAUGGAGGAACACCAGUGGCGAAGGCGACUUUCUGGUCUGUAACUGACGCUGAUGUGCGAAAGCGUGGGGAUCAAACAGGAUUAGAUACCC